rnacentral:tRNA from 1 species
CGCGGAGUAGAGCAGUGGUAGCUCGUCAGGCUCAUAACCUGAAGGUCGGUGGUUCGAUCCCGCCCUCCGCAACCA